rnacentral:ncRNA from 1 species
AAAACCCAUCUCAGUUCGGAUCGGAGUCUGCAACCCGACUCCGUGAAGCUGGAUUCGCUAGUAAUCGCGCAUCAGCCAUGGCGCGGUGAAUACGUUCCCGGGCCUUGUACACACCGCCCGUCAAGCCAUGAAAGCCGGGGGCGCCUGAAGACCGUGACCGCAAGGAGCGGCCUAGGGCGAAACUGGUAAUUGGGGCUAAGUCGUAACAAGGUAGCCGUACCGGAAGGUGUGGCUGGAACACCUCCUUU